GGACUACGGUCCGACAAUCUAUACAACAACAACGACGUCAACACAGAACACUGGCACGCGACGACGCUACAACAUCUUCUGUACUAACACGCUCCUCAAACGACCAUGAACCCUAUACGAGUUGACCGAGGUAGCUGCAGUGUCACCACAAGAACAAUUCGGAGCGUCUACAAAAGUUGUCUUGCUUUUUACCUGUUGCUGGAGAACUCGAUCGCAACAAUUCCUUUCCUACUCCAGUUCUACCGCGGUUAGUGGAUCCUUCCCACAGCAUUACAGUGAGUUUCCUAGUGUUAAACUACAAGAAAUUUGUCUCCAAAAAAACUGCUUUCCAGUAUCUUUGUUAUUUCUUCUACCCCAUUUGUGGGUCGUGAGCUGUAUUGCAUUACAUUCUGUGCAAGUAAAGUCAAACUUGUACAUAUUGAAUAUCCAGUAUAUGUAACCAAUAAAGUUUUUCUAUUUAUGGAAUAAUCCAAA